AGAGUUUGAUUCUGGCUCAGGAUGAACGCUAGCGACAGGCUUAACACAUGCAAGUCGAGGGGCAGCGGGGGAGUAGCAAUACUCCCGCCGGCGACCGGCGCACGGGUGAGUAACACGUAUGAAACCUGCCCGUAGCAGGGGGAUAAGCGGAAGAAAUUCCGUCUAAUACCGCGUAACAACCCGAGGAGGCAUCUCCUCGGGUUUAAAGGGAGCGAUUCCGGCUACGGAUGGUCAUGCGUCGCAUUAGCUUGUUGGCGGGGUAACGGCCCACCAAGGCGACGAUGCGUAGGGGUUCUGAGAGGAAGGUCCCCCACACUGGUACUGAGACACGGACCAGACUCCUACGGGAGGCAGCAGUGAGGAAUAUUGGUCAAUGGCCGCAGGGCUGAACCAGCCAAGUCGCGUGAGGGAUGACGGUCCUAUGGAUUGUAAACCUCUUUUGUCAGGGAGCAAAGGGCGCCACGUGUGGCGUUUUGCGAGUACCUGAAGAAAAAGCAUCGGCUAACUCCGUGCCAGCAGCCGCGGUAAUACGGAGGAUGCGAGCGUUAUCCGGAUUUAUUGGGUUUAAA
rnacentral:rRNA from 1 species